rnacentral:lncRNA from 1 species
UGGGCGUCAUAGAAAGUGCAACCACCAUCAGUACAUGUUUGCUAUCAGUACUGUGAUGCUGAACUGGCCUGAACUGUCAUCUUUGUUGCAGCUCCUCCUCCGCUUCCUCCAAAAAACAUUCCAUCAAGAAGUCGUUACGACUAUUCUUCGGACUCUGCCGGUACAUUCACAGCUUUGUAAUCAAUCAUACGGAUGGUCCCUUGAGUGCUUUGAUCUAAAUGCUACCUUAAACUCUUUGCAGCUGAUCUACCCAAUGGAAGGACAGCUUGCAGGUCUGCCCCCAUCUACCUGAACGUCCUGUCCCCCGCAUCUUACGGGGGCUCCCCGGCCCCUGACCUGGACGACGUGUUCGGCCCCCUGGACGGCACCCACACCAGUGAGGAAGCAAUGUCUCCCAGAUGGGUUACUUUCACCAGCGACAGACCCCCGCCGCCUGAUGAGCCUGCUCCCCCUCCGCCGCCAGACUCUCCUCCUCCAGACACGCCCUCGUCCACCCCCUCCACCCCCUGCCUCUCUCCAGGGCCGCCGCCAAACGAGCCCCCGCCUUCACCUCCGUCUCUCUCUCCCGGUUCUCCUCCUCCUUUCACGCCGCCAGAAUCCCCCCCCUGCAUCAUGCUCAGACCUCCUCCUCCAGAUGAACCAGCCCCUCCCCUGCCUCCCGAUUUCUCCCCCUCUAACUCGCCUCCUAUAUGCUUCGACAACGAUGCGAUCGACGAGGAGGUGCUGCAGUUUGCAGAGUACUGUUCGUCCCCCGCCCCAACCAGCCCCGUGCCCCCUCUGCCAGCAGAGCGGAGGUCUCCUCGAACGGGAGUCACAUCUCCCCUGGUCCUGGGGGGCGUGGGAGGAAAGAGGACUCCAGAGGGAGCAUACCUGAGAGAUGAUAUCCCAGACUUUGUGGGUUCACCCAGAGAGCUGACGCCGAGCUUCAGAGGCACGCCACCUCCUCUCCCUCCAACCACCUACAGGUCUAUCAUGUCUUCCCCGGGGCCCUCCUCAGGCAGCAGCCCCUCGUCCCCAGCUCGUCCCGUCACGCCUCAGUCCAGAGGCAGUCCAGUCCCUCCGCCUCCUCCUCCUCGACCGUCCUCGCGACCAAAGCUGCCCCCUGGGAAACCAAUCACAGACCUGGUACAUGUGAAGUGUCCUUCAUUUCUCUAACUCUCUGUUUGCCUUCCUCCACUUUGAUGAUGUAUUCUGUUAAAACAGGUAACAACUGAUUAUUAAUUCAAUUGUUGUUGUGUGCUGUCUCCAGACUCGGCCCUUCAGUCCGCCAGUUUCAGGCAGCCCCCCGCCUUUCGCCCCCCUGGCACGAGCAGAGAGCUCUUCCUCCAUCUCCUCCAUCAACCUACACAGCGCAGCGUCCACUCCAACCUUAGGAAGGGACCUUAACUUGUCCGCCGCAGGUACACCACAAACAAGUCAUCGUGCUCUUCCCGUUUUUCUUCAGCCUCACAUCUCAGUGUGUCCAUGUUGUCUGUCGCUCAUCAUCGUGUCCUUGCCUCACAGUCUUGUCCCUCUCCAUGAUUCUCUCCUCCUCAUGUCUCUGCUCACUCAGAGGCCUCACAGCCUCUGGUAUGGUUUGACCACGGCAGGUUUUAUUUAGCUUUUGAAGGUGAGUCGAGC